AACGAACGCUGGCGGCAGGCCUAACACAUGCCAGUCGAGCGAGACCUUCGGGUCUAGCGGCGGACGGGUGAGUAACGCGUGGGAACGUGCCCUUUUCUACGGAAUAGCCUCGGGAAACUGAGCGUAAUACCGUAUACGCCCUUUGGGGGAAAGAUUUAUCGGAGAAGGAUCGGCCCGCGUUGGAUUAGGUAGUUGGUGGGGUAAUGGCCUACCAAGCCUACGAUCCAUAGCUGGUUUGAGAGGAUGAUCAGCCACACUGGGACUGAGACACGGCCCAGACUCCUACGGGAGGCAGCAGUGGGGAAUCUUAGACAAUGGGGGCAACCCUGAUCUAGCCAUGCCGCGUGAGUGAUGAAGGCCUUAGGGUUGAAAGCUCUUUCAGCUGGGAAGAUAAUGACGGUACCAGCAGAAGAAGCCCCGGCUAACUCCGUG
rnacentral:rRNA from 1 species